GACGAACGCUGGCGGCGUGCUUAACACAUGCAAGUCGAGCGGUAAGGCCCUUUCGGGGGUACACGAGCGGCGAACGGGUGAGUAACACGUGGGUGACCUGCCCUCAGCUCUGGGAUAAGCCUGGGAAACUGGGUCUAAUACCGGAUAUGACUCCAUGACGCAUGUUGUGGGGUGGAAAGCCUUGUGCGGCUGGGGAUGGGCCCGCGGCCUAUCAGCUUGUUGGUGGGGUGAUGGCCUACCAAGGCGACGACGGGUAGCCGGCCUGAGAGGGCGACCGGCCACACUGGGACUGAGACACGGCCCAGACUCCUACGGGAGGCAGCAGUGGGGAAUCUUGCGCAAUGGGCGAAAGCCUGACGCAGCGACGCCGCGUGAGGGAUGACGG
rnacentral:rRNA from 1 species